UCGUCUGUUUCCAUGCUCGGUCAGCGUGUCCACGCCUGCUGAUCUUGAGCCGGAUGCCCAUACUUGUAUGAGCACAAGACAAGAACAUUCACAACGCUUUUUGAGUACGAGGCCUUUUUUAUUUAUUUAUGGAGGUUAUCGUAAUUUAUCUGUUGUUACAUGC
rnacentral:snoRNA from 1 species